rnacentral:misc_RNA from 1 species
UGAGCUUGUGGGGUCAACAGAAGCCAACCCUACAUUGUCAACUUUUGGAAAUUUCACUUUGCUCCGUUGAGCUAAUCUUGGAUCACCUUGCUUGAUCAUGUUAGGAUUUGGCUGCAAUGCUUGGAACCUCCCCUCCGAUGCAUGGAAAUGGAAACCCAUUUCGCCCACAGCAAGACACAACAAGAAGGCGUUCGGGCUCAUUUCCUCAAAUUUGAAAAGUCAGAAAGAAAAUCUCUAAUGUCGAAAACGCAUUUCUUUAAAAAAAUAAUACAUGUUAAAAUUUAAAAAGCAGAGUCUUAAAACUAGUCGCAUCAGACCUCUAGAAUAAG